GGGUGGUGUAUGAAGCUGUGUUUGCCUGCGGCAGAUCCCCCUGGCCGUCUCUGAGAGCUGCCAUCUUCUUCUGCCAGCCCUCCAUUAGGCCUGUAAGGUGUGUCAGUCAGCGCUCGUACACAGGGGCUUAUGGGAAGACUGCAGGGAAGUGAGGAGUGAACGGUGAUUAUAUGUAUUGACUACUGCAACUCUACAGUAACACACUGUCUUACCCAGAUCCGAUGAAGAGUAAAUCAAGACUUUCUGCUUUACAGAUUUUACAUCAGUGUCUCAUUGCAAACUCAGCAAUGUUGUAACUCCAAGAAGGCGGCAUGGGACGAAAAGGAAAAUUCAGAGGGAACGAGAAUAAUAAAUGCAAAUUAUAAAUCCGUUUACCAAACACCGGUAAAGAUGGAGUGGUUGUCUUGCUGUUGUGCUGGUAUCAGACAUGGGCUCUUCAUCAGAUGACUAAUGGAGUUGUGCAGCUAACCAGGAGGCCCAAGGCUGUUUGUUAGCUCUUAACAAGAAUAAGCCAAGCUGUGUGCUCGCCAGAUCCAGUACGAGCACUUAGAAGUAG